CGUGCCAGCAGCCGCGGUAAUACGAAGGGGGCUAGCGUUGUUCGGAUUUACUGGGCGUAAAGGGUGCGUAGGCGGAUUGUUAAGUCAGGGGUGAAAUCCCGAGGCUCAACCUCGGAACUGCCUUUGAUACUGGCGAUCUUGAGUCUGGGAGAGGUGAGUGGAACUGCGAGUGUAGAGGUGAAAUUCGUAGAUAUUCGCAAGAACACCGGUGGCGAAGGCGGCUCACUGGCCCGGUACUGACGCUGAGGCACGAAAGCGUGGGGAGCAAACAGGAUUAGAUACCCUGGUAGUCCACGCCGUAAACGAUGA
rnacentral:rRNA from 1 species